UGUGGGUAAUGUGAGGGCGUACCAGGGCCACGAAAAGGAGCCGACAGGAGCGGGUGAGCGGACACAUUGGAACUGAGACACGGUCCAAACGCCUACGGGAGGCAGCAGUGGGGAAUAUUGCACAAUGGGCGAAAGCCGGAUGCAGCAACGCCGCGUGAGUGAUGAAGGCCGUCGGGUCGUAAAACUCUGUCCUCAAGGAAGAUAAUGACGG
rnacentral:rRNA from 1 species